GACGAACGCUGGCGGCGUGCCUAAUACAUGCCAGUCGAACGAGAGCGACCGGUGCUUGCACUGGUCAAUCUAGUGGCGAACGGGUGAGUAACACGUGGGUAACCUGCCCAUCAGAGGGGGAUAACAUCCGGAAACGGAUGCUAAAACCGCAUAGGUCUUCGAACCGCAUGGUUUGAAGAGGAAAAGAGGCGCAGGCUUCUGCUGAUGGAUGGACCCGCGGUGCAUUAGCUAGUUGGUGAGGUAACGGCUCACCAAGGCCGUGAUGCAUAGCCGACCUGAGAGGGUGAUCGGCCACAUUGGGACUGAGACACGGCCCAAACUCCUACGGGAGGCAGCAGUAGGGAAUCUUCCGCAAUGGACGCAAGUCUGACGGAGCAACGCCGCGUGAGUGAAGAAGGUUUUCGGAUCGUAAAACUCUGUUGUUAGAGAAGAACAAGUGCUAGAGUAACUGUUAGCGCCUUGACGGUAUCUAACCAGAAAGCCACGGCUAACUACGUG
rnacentral:rRNA from 1 species